rfam:Glycine max cultivar Williams 82 chromosome 4, whole genome shotgun sequence.
UACCCAUGGUGUGGGCAACUCUUCUACAGUCCCUUGAAUCACUCCUAGGCUUGAAAUAAGGAUUCAUGCUCAUAUUGGGCAAAAUUCCAAAUUUCUCUGAUUAA